GAUGAACGCUGGUGGCGUGCCUAAUACAUGCAAGUCGAGCGAACAGACGAGGAGCUUGCUCCUUUGACGUUAGCGGCGGACGGGUGAGUAACACGUGGGUAACCUACCUAUAAGACUGGGAUAACUUCGGGAAACCGGAGCUAAUACCGGAUAAUAUUUCGAACCGCAUGGUUCGAUAGUGAAAGAUGGCUUUGCUAUCACUUAUAGAUGGACCUGCGCCGCAUUAGCUAGUUGGUAAGGUAACGGCUUACCAAGGCAACGAUACGUAGCCGACCUGAGAGGGUGAUCGGCCACACUGGAACUGAGACACGGUCCAGACUCCUACGGGAGGCAGCAGUAGGGAAUCUUCCGCAAUGGGCGAAAGCCUGACGGAGCAACGCCGCGUGAGUGAUGAAGGUCUUCGGAUCGUAAAACUCUGUUAUUAGGGAAGAACAAACGUGUAAGUAACUGUGCACGUCUUGACGGUACCUAAUCAGAAAGCCACGGCUAACUACGUG
rnacentral:rRNA from 1 species